AUUCAUCAACAAACAAAUUAUUAUUAUUUAAAUUUUUACGUUUUUAAAAAAAGUAAAUGUUGGUUUGGCAACAAAACAUACAUUAAAAUCAAAACUAGUCAGGGAGAUUUUGAAUUUAUAUGAAGCCCAGUUCCGAAUUAUUACUUUCUGAAAAACGUGCUUAUAUAAAUCUUGAUUUGUUAAGGGAACAAAAUUGCAUAUUCUUUUAUACUUUAAGAUAUCACUCAAAGCAGAAAAUUCCAUAAUUCUUUUUUCAUAAAAUACUAUUAUUUAGAUUUUAUCAUGUCAAAUGAAAGUGGUAUUGAAGAUCCAUUAAAGCCUUCAACAAAGUCAUCGUUGCUUCCAUUUAAACUAAAGUGGGUAUUUGGAUAUCAAACAAGGGUCUUCCCUGUGAGUUUAUCUUCUCCAUCUCUGAAAAAUGUUUUCUUUGUUGCUGGUUCUACAGGAAUUUGUUAUGAUUGGAUUAAUUGCACACAGCAUAUGUUAUUUGGUCAUACCACUGACAUAACUUGUGCUACAGUUAGUGAAAAUAAGACUUAUUUAGCUACUUCAGCAAGUGGAUCUGAAAACACAAUUAUUGUUUGGAAUUUAAAAACAAAGAAUAAGAUAUUUUGCCUCUCUGGAUAUUUUUCUGUGGAAAGUGUGAUAUGGAUUACAUUUUCUUUGAAUAACAAUAUAUUGAUGACUUUAAGUGAUGGAAAACCACAAGGUCUUGCUUUAUGGGAAUGGAAAUCGCAAAGUACAACUCCCUUUUGUUCAUAUAAGUUUAAAGCUAAUAAAUUUCAGCACCAUGUGGUGUUUCACCCUAAUGACUCUUCUCAUUUUGCUUCUACAAGUGAAGAUAAUGUUUAUUUUUUCGAAAAGAAUGAAAAUGGUUUAUUGUCAUCUGCUGUAGAUUUAAAAGCUCUGUAUGAUGAGAAAAUGUGUUUAAAGGCUGGAAAAUUCACUCAGACUGCUUUUAGUGUAAUGUCAUCUUUGGCCUAUACUGGAACUUCUAAAGGCAAAAUUGUUGUUUGGGGACUUCCUCUCUACAAAACAAAAACAGAAAGUUCAACAUCAUUACUGACAGUAAAUCCAGAAGAGAGAAUAUGUCUUCGUAUGGUGCAAGUUAUUACAAGCAGAAGUAGUAUUUCCUUUCUGACUGUCAUUAAAGAAAAUAUUGUUAUUGGAACUCAGGAUAGUCAUAUUUGCUUUUACAGUGAAACUUUUAAAUUAAUCUGGUCUAUUGAUGUGGAAGAUGGUCCAAUAAUGACUCUGUCAUUUAAUUUUAAACCAAGAUUCACCUUUAAGGAAGUGGUUAUGAGGGUUUUAGGAAAAAAUGUGAAGAAAGAAAAAUCUUUUGAAAAAUUGAAUGAUUUUAUGGCAAGCACUGCAUAUGGUUUAACUGUCUAUGUUAACAGUAAUACCAAGGAAAUUCAAACAAUUCUUUCUGGAACUGCUUCUACUGUCAAAACAGUUGCUGUUCACCCUCAUUUGCCUUAUAUUUAUUUUGGAGAUGGUUUUGGAAAUUUACAGAAGUGGAAUUACAAAACAAAGGUUAUGGAGAAAAAGAUUCUUUAUAAAGAUUCUAGUAUUGGUGUAGAAUAUUUAACUGUUGACAGCACUGGUAACUAUUUAGUUGGAGCUUUCACAGAUAAUAGCAUAGUAGUUUUUGAUUGUAUCGCCCUAUCUUCUAAGCCCUGUUUUGUUUAUGAUCAGAUGAGAUUUAAAACAUCUGCUAUAAAAUUUUCUCCAGAUCCUCAAUAUUUCAUUGUUGUUGAUGAUGGAUCUUUUGUUACUCGCUUUCAAUUGCAUUUACUAAUACCCUCAGCCCUUGAUCAAAUCAAAGAUGAGGGAAGCAGUUUAUCUGAAGAGCCUUUAUGGUGCUUUAAGGGCAAAACUCGUCAACACCGUGGUUAUAUUGUAGAUACUCUUUUUAAUGUUCCAAAUGAAGGAGAAAACAUAUAUUUCUUUACUCUAGGUGAAGAUUUUUUAGUGGUUCAAUAUAACAUAUCUUCUUUAAGAAGUAAAGACAUAGAAGUAGUUAAAUUUAUCAAGUUGGAUAAAGCAUCAGCUCCUAUUUGCAUGUGUUGGUACCCUUUGUAUAAUCUUCGUGACCUUUUGGGUGUAACUAGUUCUGAUGGAAAACUUCGUGUUUAUGAUAUUGAUACUGAGAAUUUAGUACGGUUUGUUUCGUUGCCAUCUUUUGGAGAGCCAUAUAAAAAGAAUUUAUAUUUAAGCUAUCUUGAUGAUGAUAUUGGCAGUGAUGCAGAGUGUCUAAUGUUUUAUUCUGCUCAUUUGAUUGGUCUUACUAAAUUUCCGGUUGAUGGAAAUCCUUAUUCCAGUUUAGCCAUCCCAUCACAUGUUAAAGGAAUAAGUACAGCAUUAACAAAUUAUGAUCAAACAUUUUUAUUUACUGCUGGUGUCGAAGAUUCUUGGAUCUUUAUGUAUGAAAUUAACUUUGGAGCUGUGCUUCAGUCUCAGAAGUCAGGUGGUCAGGGAAUCGAUGCCUUUCUUAGUGUAUUACCAUCCAUUGAAAAUCAACAGGAUGUUAAGCAAAAACUUAUAUAUGGUAUAUAUGCACUUGAGUUGGAAACGAAAUUGCUAAAUUUCGGUGCAGAUCAAGAUCCUGUUUUGAAAGGAGAGAUACCAAUUAAUUGCUUAGAGUACAUUAUGGCAGUUAUGGGGUAUUUUAUGACUCCAAAAGAUUGUAUCUAAAUUAUAGACCUGAGGAGCCACUUAACCGAGAAAAGAUUAAACAGUCUUUUAAAGAAGUUUUAUCUGCUGAAGAAAAUCCUGAAAAACUUGCCAGAUCUAGUUUUCUUCGUAUUUUGGAAUUUCGAGGUGAUCAGCUGCCACGCAAGGAACUUCUUACCAUUCUUAAAUGUUUAAAAGGUACUGGGGAUAUUGAUACUCUACCAAUGCAAUUGGAUGAAGGAAAUAUACAGGAUAAAAACUUGUUAGAUCCUGAGAAUAAGAUUUUAAAUGAUCAAGAAGAGUUAGAACGUUUAAUACCUGAUACCAUCACUGAAAAAGUAUUCUUGCAAGAUGUACUUUGUUUAGAUGAGCCAAAAGAAGACUUGU
rnacentral:misc_RNA from 1 species